GAUGAACGCUGGCGGCGUGCCUAAUACAUGCAAGUCGAGCGAACAGACGAGGCGCUUGCUCCUCUGACGUUAGCCGCGGACGGGUGUGUAACACGUGGAUAACCUACCUAUAAGACUGGUAUAACUUCGGGAAACCGGCGCUAAUACCGUAUAAUAUAUUGAACCGCAUUGUUCAAUAGUGAAAUACGGUUUUGCUGUCACUUAUCGAUGGAUCCGCGCCUCAUUAGCUAGUUGGUAAGGUAUCAGCUUACCAAGGCAACGAUGCGUAGCCGACCUGAGAGGGUGAUGGGGGACACUGGAGGUGAGACACGGUACAGAGACCGACGGGAGGCAGCAGUAGGGAAGGGUCCGAGAUGGGCGAAAGAUUGAAGGAGGGACGGCGCGUGAGUGAUGAAGGGCUGCGGAUCGUAAAACUCUGUUAGGAGGGAAGAACAAAUGUGUAAGUAACGAUGCACGAGUGGACGGUAUGUAUACAGAAAGCCACGGCUAACUACGU
rnacentral:rRNA from 1 species